rnacentral:lncRNA from 1 species
GUACUUAGGGGGCACUAGGAGUAAAAGGCUUGGUAGCUGCAGCAAGUGUCGGAGAAUAAGGUCUAUUUGAGCGUUUGCCGACCUUAGCUCAUUGAGCAAUUCUAUUUUCAGAUUCUCUACUUGCGCCCUGAGUUUAUCAUUCUCCUUUGUCAAACGAGCCACUUCAUCAUUUGACAUGGGAACCCCUCGAGCUUGCCGACCUUCCAGGAUAGCAUUCCUGGCCUUCAACCUAUGAAUUUCCUCAGCUGCAUUAUUAUGGGCACUGAUAAGCUAAGAAACGGUGGAUGCACUGUCGACGCCCCCUUUUCCCCCCCUAAAAAAGAAACAAAAUGAGGUUUACGACAUUAUGGAUAUAACAACUCUUAUUCCCUUUUGGGAAUUAAGUUACGGAGUUUGAAGAGUCGCCACCUAAUGAUUAUAGUGCAU